GAUGAACGCUGGCGGCGUGCUUAACACAUGCAAGUCGAGGGGCAGCGGGGGGCGCGCUUGCGCGUCCCGCCGGCGACCGGCGCACGGGUGAGUAACACGUAUGCAACCUGCCCCCGCCAGGGGUACAACCCUCCGAAAGGGGGGCUGAUACCGCGUACAUCCCCCGGGGGCAUCCCCGGGGGAGGAAAGCCCUACGGGGCGGGCGGGGAUGGGCAUGCGGCGCAUUAGGAAGACGGCGGUGUGACGGACCACCGUUCCGACGAUGCGUAGGGGUUCUGAGAGGAAGGCCCCCCACACUGGUACUGAGACACGGACCAG
rnacentral:rRNA from 1 species